rnacentral:rRNA from 1 species
UACGUAGGGGGCAAGCGUUGUCCGGAUUCAUUGGGCGUAAAGAGCGUGUAGGCGGCCUGGAAGGUCAGCUGUGAAAACUCGAGGCUCAACCUCGAGACGUCGGUUGAAACCACCUGGCUAGAGUCCGGAAGAGGAGUGUGGAAUUCCCGGUGUAGCGGUGAAAUGCGCAGAUAUCGGGAAGAACACCCGUGGCGAAGGCAGCACUCUGGGACGGUACUGACGCUGAGACGCGAAAGCGUGGGGAGCGAACAGG